rnacentral:lncRNA from 1 species
GACUGAUGGACAGAAGAUACAAAAGCAGCUGAGUAACACCCCAAUGAAGAAAACAAUUGGGGCCACCACAGUUUCUGAUGAAGGAGCACUCCCUCCAGCUGGGGGCUUGGGGAAGGAGGUCGAGAAAGGAGGUCAUGCAGUUAAGCGUAUGGGAUUCUCUCAGUCUAUCCUGAUGGUCUAUUCUGGAGAAUAUGACACAACAUAUGGGUUGGCAUCCCACUGAUUUUUGCUAGUGCUCUCCACAGCUCCU